rnacentral:pre_miRNA from 1 species
AGUGGAAUUGCUGGGUUAUAUGGUGAGCAUAUGAUGACAUUUUAAGAAACUGCCAAACUGUUUUCCAAAGUGGCUGUAUAAUUUUACAUUCCCAUCAGCAAU